rnacentral:lncRNA from 1 species
CCAGGCUGCUGCACAUGGCCACAGCAGGCCCAGCCGUUACGCCGAGCAUCAUGGUGAGGAUGGUCAGGAUGAUUAACACACACUAACUGUGCAGCAACAGAUUGUGAGCUUCUGUCUCUGACUUUACACUCACAAGGUGAGUAGUUAUAUAUGUAGGAGUGUCUGAUAGAGUGGAGGACAGUGAGAGAGUAGUAGACACAGUGUUUAAAAACUCCAGCAGCACUGCUGUCAAUUGUACCAGUGCAACACACGUC